rnacentral:rRNA from 1 species
GAUGAACGCUGGCGGCGUGCCUAACACAUGCAAGUCGAGCGGCAGCGCGAGUAGUUUACUACUUGGCGGCGAGCGGCGGACGGCUGAGUAACGCGUGGGAACGUGCCCCAAAGUGAGGGAUAACGCACCGAAAGGUGUGCUAAUACCGCAUAUGAUCUUCGGAUUAAAGAAUUUAAUCGCUUUGGGAGCGGCCCGCGUCGGAUUAGGUAGUUGGUAGGGUAAUGGCCUACCAAGCCGACGAACCGUAGCUGGUCUGAGAGGAUGACCAGCCAGACUGGAACUGAGACACGGUCCAGACUCCUACGGGAGGCAGCAGUGAGGAAUCUUCCACAAUGGGCGAAAGCCUGAUGGAGCAACGCCGCGUGCAGGAUGAAGGCCUUCGGGUUGUAAACUGCUUUUAUAGGUGAAGAAUAUGACGGUAACUUAUGAAUAAGCACCGGCUAACUACGUGCCAGCCGCCGCAGUAA